rnacentral:rRNA from 1 species
UACGAAGGGGGCUAGCGUUGUUCGGAAUUACUGGGCGUAAAGCGCACGUAGGCGGAUAUUUAAGUCAGGGGUGAAAUCCCAGAGCUCAACUCUGGAACUGCCUUUGAUACUGGGUAUCUUGAGUAUGGAAGAGGUAAGUGGAAUUGCGAGUGUAGAGGUGAAAUUCGUAGAUAUUCGCAGGAACACCAGUGGCGAAGGCGGCUUACUGGUCCAUAACUGACGCUGAGGUGCGAAAGCGUGGGGAGCAACAGGAGUUAGAU